AAAAGCAGAGAAACUUCCCCAGCUGUGGUCAGUGAGAUAGGAGGAGAGUCUCAGUCAUAAGUUGGGAAUUCCAUCUCUGUUUCCCUGACUUUAAAAAUAGAAAGAAGCCUGGAACUAGAGAAUGUGAACAGACUACAGAAGCUAGAAACAAAUGGCGUAUUGGAAAUAAAUUAAGGUUCUAAAUGGCUCGUCUGUUCCUUUAACAAGUGUGAUUGUGGAUUGGAGAAUCAUCUGAAUGCGAGAAUAUCAGUUCACCUCAGCAUGAAGCAAAGAGCUCACAGAGUACCUAGCACCCAUGAGUAUUUCAACGGGUAGAAGUUGAAUCAGAAGUUAAAUCUCACAGAAGCCAACAAAGUGUUUGCUGACUCCAAGGGAACAACGCAGAGAGCACACAAGUUUACAUUGGUCGAUCAUGAUUCAUCGUUUUCUCCCAUUGCCCUUGUCAGAUAUGAGGCCCUAAAUUGGUAAAGAAGUUCUCUUGGACUCAUAAGAAAUAUUUCUCAGUGCCUGGAAAAGGAAGAAUCAGAAGGCCAAAGGGAAGCUCAAGAUUUAACAUUUUUACUUUGGGGCCUUAGAGAAUCAAGUCAAGACAACUACUGGUGUGCUGUUUACCUCCUGGUUGCUUCCAUGUCUUGGCUAUUGUAAACAACACUGCAGUGAACGUUGGAAUGUUUGUAUCCUUUCGGACUGUGUUUGUCUCCAGAUACAUGCCCAGGAGUGGUAUUUCUGGAUGAUACGCUAGCUAUGAUCUGGGCUUCCCUUGUAGUUCAGCUGGUAAAGAAGCCGCCUGCAAUGCGGGAGACCUGGGUCCGAUCCCUGAGUUGGGGAAGAUCCCCUGGGGAAGGAAAUGGCAACCCACUCCUGUACUUUUGCCUGGAGAAAUCCAUGGGCAGAGGAGCUGCAGUCCAUGGAAUUGCAAACAGUCGUAUACAACUGUGCGACUAACUUUCUUUCUUUCAUGCUACCUAUAUUUUUAGUUUUUUAAGGAACCUCCAUACUGUUCUCCAUGGUGGCUGCACCAAUUUAUAUUCCCACCAACAGUGUAGGAGGGUUUCUUUUUCUCCACACGCUCUCCAGCACUUAUUGUUUAGAUAGUUUCUUGAUGACGACCAUUCUGUCCAGUGUAAGGUGUUAUCUCAUUGUAGUUUUGAAUUGAAUUUUUCUAAUAAUUAGUGAUGUUGAGCAUUUUUUCAUGUGUGUGUUGGCCAUCUGU